rnacentral:rRNA from 1 species
GAUGAACGCUGGCGGCGUGCUUAACACAUGCAAGUCGAACGGGAAACCUUUUAUUGAAGCUUCGGCAGAUUUAGCUGGUUUCUAGUGGCGGACGGGUGAGUAAUGCGUGGGUAACCUGCCUUAUACAGGGGGAUAACAACCAGAAAUGGUUGCUAAUACCGCAUAAGCGCACAGGACCGCAUGGUCCGGUGCGAAAAACUCCGGUGGGAUAAGAUGGACCCGCGUUGGAUUAGCUAGUUGGCAGGGUAACGGCCUACCAAGGCGACGAUCCAUAGCCGGCCUGAGAGGGUGAGCGGCCACAUUGGGACUGAGACACGGCCCAGACUCCUACGGGAGGCAGCAGUGGGGAAUAUUGCACAAUGGGGGAAACCCUGAUGCAGCGACGCCGCGUGAAGGAAGAAGUAUCUCGGUAUGUAAACUUCUAUCAGCAGGGAAGAUAGUGACGGUACCUGACGAAGAAGCCCCGGCUAACUACGUG